CUCAAAACACAGAGUGAGCAUGUAAUGCAAUUUUGUUGUAGCAUAUCACUGAAUUUUGUUGAUAUAACAACCUGAAAUAAAGUAUUAAGACAGAUUGACAUGCUUAGGUAGCGCAGCUGAGGAUUCAGAUAUUUAAAUCUAACAUGUUCUAGCUUGUUCCUGCUGAAAUCGAUGGAAGUUCUCCUUCACAGCUGAUUGCAGUGGGGGAAAAUGGAUCCAGCCUAUGCAGAAUAAUGACAGGAAGGGGAAUGGGGUGUUGGUGAUGACACAAGCAGAGAGAAGAAAUAAAUCUCACUGGGACAGUGUGGACAGGAGUGCCUGUUUGCCCUGGAAAGAACUGGAAGAAGAAGAAGAA